AAACGUGGACACACCGACCUGCCCUUGCCCUGCUGGGUUGAGGCACGAUGGCGGCGUAGCCCUACUGUGCUCUGCGUUCUCACAUCGGCUGCGCUUUGGAAGCGGCCAUCAAACAGCAUCGGCAAGUGGUUUUCAAGCAAUAAGUAGGAGUUCAAAAUAGAAUUUCAAACCCAGCUGAGCUGCCUGUUAUUGUUUUGGGAUGGUCCGAGUGGUGGCAGAUGGUCGAAGGAACUACAGUAGAACUCAUCCAAGGGUGGUAAGUCGGGGGAGAGCACUUGGCCAUGCGACUAAAAACACCUUGUUACUACGUUACGGUCCAAGAAUGAAAUUUAAAAAAAUAAUGUUUCGUGUCACUUGAUGUUGGCCACAAACGGAAAGAUUUGAGAUUGAAAAUAUGACAAAGGAUUACAAUUUUUGACCCGUUAAACAGGCUAAGCAGUUGUAAUACUUACAGUAAACAUGUCAGUGGAAGGUCACCCACUUUCCCAGGAGUCACUCAACAGCUCAGUGACUUCCUACAGGAAACAUUUCGAGCCUCUUAAAUCAGUCGGGGUGGGCGUACACUGGCAGUGGCAUCAGGGUAAUUAUAGUCUGCUGUUUUUGUUCGGUGAGAACAAAAGCAAUUUGUCAUCUCUGGAUGCAAUGGACCUAAAAUAGCCAGCGAUGUGGCAGCUCCCAGCGUGAGCGUUGUCAGCCACUGUAGGCGGGAGCACACUAGCG